rnacentral:rRNA from 1 species
AUUGAACGCUGGCGGCAGGCCUAACACAUGCAAGUCGAGCGGAGCGGCGGACGGGGGCGUGAUGCCUAGGAAUCUGCCUGGGAGUGGGGGAUAACGUCCGGAAACGGGCGCGAAUACCGCAUACUAUCAGAUGAGCCUAGGUCGGAUUGGGUAGAUGGUGGGGUAAAGGCCUACCAAGGCGACGAUCCGUAACUGGUCUGAGAGGAUGAUCAGUCACACUGGAACUGAGACACGGUCCAGACUCCUACGGGAGGCAGCAGUGGGGAAUAUUGGACAAUGGGCGAAAGCCUGAUCCAGUCAUGCCGCGUGUGUGAAGAAGGUCUUCGGAUUGUAAAGCACUUUAAGUUGGGAGGCGUUACCAACAGAAUAAGCACCGGCUAACUUCGUGCCAGCAGCCGCGGUAAUUC